rnacentral:rRNA from 2 species
UGCAAGUCGAGCGGACAGAAGGGAGCUUGCUCCCGGAUGUUAGCGGCGGACGGGUGAGUAACACGUGGGUAACCUGCCUGUAAGACUGGGAUAACUCCGGGAAACCGGAGCUAAUACCGGAUAGUUCCUUGAACCGCAUGGUUCAAGGAUGAAAGACGGUUUCGGCUGUCACUUACAGAUGGACCCGCGGCGCAUUAGCUAGUUGGUGAGGUAACGGCUCACCAAGGCGACGAUGCGUAGCCGACCUGAGAGGGUGAUCGGCCACACUGGGACUGAGACACGGCCCAGACUCCUACGGGAGGCAGCAGUAGGGAAUCUUCCGCAAUGGACGAAAGUCUGACGGAGCAACGCCGCGUGAGUGAUGAAGGUUUUCGGAUCGUAAAGCUCUGUUGUUAGGGAAGAACAAGUGCAAGAGUAACUGCUUGCACCUUGACGGUACCUAACCAGAAAGCCACGGCUAACUACGUGCCAGCAGCCGCGGUAAUACGUAGGUGGCAAGCGUUGUCCGGAAUUAUUGGGCGUAAAGGGCUCGCAGGCGGUUUCUUAAGUCUGAUGUGAAAGCCCCCGGCUCAACCGGGGAGGGUCAUUGGAAACUGGGAAACUUGAGUGCAGAAGAGGAGAGUGGAAUUCCACGUGUAGCGGUGAAAUGCGUAGAGAUGUGGAGGAACACCAGUGGCGAAGGCGACUCUCUGGUCUGUAACUGACGCUGAGGAGCGAAAGCGUGGGGAGCGAACAGGAUUAGAUACCCUGGUAGUCCACGCCGUAAACGAUGAGUGCUAAGUGUUAGGGGUUUCCGCCCCUUAGUGCUGCAGCUAACGCAUUAAGCACUCCGCCUGGGGAGUACGGUCGCAAGACUGAAACUCAAAGGAAUUGAC